GGAAACGGCUGCUGUAGUCAUGGCAACAAAAAGAAGGCUGGCGAGCUCGGGUUUCAUCCACGCCUUUGUCUCUGGUCUAUAUCAGGCUACCAAGUGACGUGUGACUUUGUGAACUCAAAGGUAUCGUGCGUCAAAUGAGCCGGGAUUGUUUUUGUCUCAUUCCUCGGUUAACUGAGUCAUGAAGCGGCUGAAUUCACAAGUGAGGCGGAUGAAGUGGCACUCAAAGCUGCAAUGCUUUGUGUUCAUGACAAUGUCACAGUGAGGCAGGAUGCACAACACCAGGAAGGUGAAACUGAAGCAGCAAAAUGGAAUACAGCCAUCAUUCCUGUUUAUUAUGUACACGUGUGCUUUUCCCGCUGUGACCUGUCAAACUGUCCUCUGUGAAAAAGGCCUAUUGUUUUUGCUGCUGACAAAAAUACACACAAUACAUAACACAUGUACACUCACACUGAAGAACCCUACCAAGAUUUGAAAAGCCUCAGUGAGAUACCUUCAUCACUUGUUUGUAUUUAUUUAUGUAUUUAUUGUGUGUGUGUGUGUGUGUGUGUGUGUGUGUGUGUGUGUGUGUGUGUGUGUGUGUGUGUGUGUGGUUUGUCCACAAAAGAAAUACCUUUUUUAUUCAUCUUUGUAUUAUUUAUUUUCUUAUUUAAAUUUGCAUGCUAAAGCCAAAAAGAGCAGCUGUGGCUUAAAAAAGGCUCGAUCCCACCCUUAUGUUGCUCCUCCUGUCCACAUGUUGAAGUGUCCCUGAGCAAGACGCUGAACUCCAAAUGGCUCCAGAUCUUCAGACCAGCACCUUGCAUGGUACUUGGUGUGUAUGUGAAUUGAUGAAUGAGAGGCACAUUGUAUAAAAGCAUUAUGUAAGCACAGUCCAUUCACCAGAAAUACACAAAAAUACAAAUAUAUGGAUUAAAUAGAUGAUCUCAGUGUCACCACUUGUAGCUACAGCCCUGGCUUCAGAACUGUUGAAAUAUUAUUACCUAGGGAUCAAAAACAUGAAUAUGCAUAUCUAGACAUGUGCUUUGUUGUCAUAACCAAAUGACAUGUAUUCAAAGUAGUGCAGUGAAGGUAUCAUUGUUUGGAGGUCAGCUGUUGAUAUACUGCCAUAAAUGAGGUUUAACAGUAGCUUACUGUCCCAAGCACACAAACAGCUUGUCACUGGCACCUCACAUGGCCUGCCAGUGUUUGAAGCUAAUGGGAUCGUGUAGCCUCAUCAGGGACGUGAAUAAUAGAAAUGUCUAAAUCUUGAACAGAGGAUAAACAGGCUUCAGACUUCAGUGCAAUACAAAAGCGUACAAAGUCAUGAAAAAGUAAAAAGGUGGAGCACUUUGAAACCCAGUAAAUAAAGAGCUUCAUAACAGCGACAAAUUUAUGCACAUUUAUGAUUCAAGUUUUAUGUCAGCUUUUACUCAGUACCCAACAUGACAGAUAUACAAAGCCAGUUUUGUUUUUGUUUUGUCUUUGGCAGUAGAGAUGUGCAGUAACAGAUUAAGUGAAUCUGUAAAGCUGAAGUCAUAACGAGAUAUCAGUCAUUAUCAGGAUUACAAUCAUACAAAUUAGCAUGCAGCACAUUACACAAUUCCUUAUGUGAGCUCAUGUAACUGCAUCCAAAUAGUCGAUUGCGUCCAUUCCUGAGACACUGUCUCAGUACUGAGCUGCCAAAUAUUUGUAGUGCAAAUAGUGAAAUUAAAGCCCCUAUAUGUAAGAUCUGAUAAUGUCAGACUUUGGUGUCUCUUAGUAGUAUCAGAAAACAUUAUUUUUUCACUUGUUUUAUUUGCGGUUUCCGUCUCUUAACUUUGGUUGUUGUUGCCAAAUAUAGUAAAUAAAAGAACACAAUUGCGUAGGAGAAACUACGGAGGCCAUGUAAUGCGCAAAAAAUGCAAAGGGCCUAUCUAGAGUCACUGUUUGAUUUGUCUGUUCUGGGCUACUGUAGAAACAUGGUGGUUCAAUAUAGUGGACUCUGUGGACGAGGACCAGCUCAAGGUGACGAAAACACAAUUUUCAGGUGAUUAUCCACUAAUGAUAUAUACUAUUGAGAUGUCAGGGGGUCUGUCACAAUGUCGGUAUUUGAUGCCCUGGGAAUGAAAACAGGCUACAUUUUCAUAUUUGAGCUCCUAUAUUCUCCUUCAUUCAGUCAUUCUGUCAAAAGCUAUAGCUUCAUAAAAUAACUCCUUAAAAUUGAGUAGUUUUAUACACCAUCAACAAAUUAAAUUUGUUUAUAAUCCAUCCUAACUUAUUAAUUAAUUCUUAAUGACAUCAGCAUACAAAUAAAAAAAUAUGCUGGUUUUAUUUUAAUUUUCAAAACAAACAGAACAAACGGGAUAUUGUGUUUUCUUUGGAUGAAGGAAAGGAGGCACUGAAGCUGAAGGAGUAUUUAACUGCUUAUCUUGAUUGCACAAUACUGUAGAUACAAAUCAAUUUGUUUAGGUUUUCAUUAAAAAGACACCUGUAGUAGAGAGAUUAAUGAGCAUACAAAAGGAUGUCACCUUUCAUUUAAUAAACCUGGCCCAAACAUGUAUUCAUUCAUAUGUAUCUUACAUUUUUUCAUACACAUGGAAAAUGCAUGAUUCAGAAUACAUACAUUAUACAUGUGUAUAUAUAUAUAUACACAUAGGCCUACAGAGUGAGAGAGAGAGAGAGAGAGAGAGAGAGAGAGAGAGAGAGAGAGAGAAUAAAUAAUUGAUUCAUUCUUUUUGGUGCUGAAUAGCAACAUAACUGCAUAAAUCCUAUUUGCAUUUGCUGCAUAGCUCUUAUAUUUGACAAUCCAAACAGACAGCUUGUAAUGAAACUACAGUAACAGUUUACAUUCAGUAUACUGACAAUCCAGAAAAUAAGUGUGUAAAAUGGAAUACAUUAAAGCUGCCUUUUGCCUAUUUUUAGCACUUAAAUAAUUCUCCUAUAGACAUGGGAGACUGAUAUAACAGAUAUAAGUACAACAGAACAAAGUAGAAGCAUUAAAAUCACCAGAAUAUGAGGCUUUUCACUCAAUGACAAUAUAAUUUACCAAUGUAUGAUUUAUAAUUUUGUGACAUUAGGAUAUGCUCACUCUGAUAUUGGAUAGACAAAAUGAGUGUGAAUAUGUGGAAAUGGACAAGCCUUUUCAGACAUCUGAGGCUGCUGGCUUUUUUUUUAGGAAGCCAAUUUGGAAAAUGGCUGCGAAAGGGAACAUGAAACAGCUAAAAUGCCAUAAUGGGUCUGCACUUAUAUGAAUCUUAUGAAACAUCCUUUGAGCUAUUAUUGCAUUUAAGGUUAAUUCAAUCUGAUUAGAAGCAAACACAGAAAAACAGGUCACACUGUGGAUGCUUGUUUGUCUGUGCCUGGUUUGAAAUUAGAAAUGUGUUUCAAGAUAUUUUCAUAAAAAGUGAAAAACAGUGUUUUCAUGCUGUUACAAGCAGUUUACAGCUGUUUAGAUUUAUGUUUCAAUUUCACAAUUAUAAUUCUGAAUUAAAGUUUUAUGUGAAGAAUCAAAAUGUUUUAUUCCAGUAAGUUCUCCAAAAUGAAGCUCUCAGAUGCUCUGCAUAAACAUUAGAUUUGAUGAGUGUUUUCCUGGUAUGCUGAAGACUCUGUGGCUCAAUCUGAACAGAAACACUUUGCAAGUCUUCUGAGAGACAUAAUGAAAAACUCAAACUGUGUUUGCGCUCACUUAUUUCCUCAGUUGAUCAUAAAAAGUGCAUCAUUUCUACCAAGUCAAAUCCUGUGGUUUUUCUCGGGAGGUUUUAAUGGUUUUUGACUCAGAGUCAGUGAAAAUGAAAUUUAGCAGUAAAUUGCCUCUAGAAGACAUAUUCAUCUGGGUAACAACAUGUAAUUACACUCAAGGUGUUCUCUGUUUCAUAACAUGCUUGUGAAAUUUUAAUAACAGCUGGCUGCAUACUAAUUCAGUCGACUUUCUGGAGGUGUUCAAUACAGGAACAAUGUGUACAUUUAAAGUUAAAAACAAAAAGCAAGCCCCUAUUUUAACAAAAGAACAUGGCUUCAGGUUAUCCAUGAAAAUAAAUGUGUUUUUCCGACAGAAA